UACGGAGGGUGCAAGCGUUAUCCGGAUUCACUGGGUUUAAAGGGUGCGUAGGCGGCUUUUUAAGUCAGGGGUGAAAGACGGUGGCUCAACCAUCGCAGUGCCCUUGAUACUGAAGAGCUUGAAUGGACUAGAGGUAGGCGGAAUGUGACAAGUAGCGGUGAAAUGCAUAGAUAUGUCACAGAACACCGAUUGCGAAGGCAGCUUACUAUGGUUUAAUUGACGCUGAGGCACGAAAGCGUGGGGAUCAAACAGG
rnacentral:rRNA from 1 species